rnacentral:rRNA from 1 species
GNAGGNGGCGAGCGUUAUCCGGAAUNAUUGGGCGUAAAGAGCGCGCAGGNGGUNGAUNAAGNCUGAUGUGAAGGCCCACGGCNNAACCGUGGAGGGUCAUNGGAAACNGGUCGACUNGAGUGCAGAAGAGGGAAGUGGAAUNCCAUGUGUAGCGGUGAAAUGCGUAGAGAUAUGGAGGAACACCAGUGGCGAAGGCGGCUUCCUGGUCUGUAACUGACACUGAGGCGCGAAAGCGUGGGGAGCAAACAGGAUUAGAUACCCUGGUAGUCCACGCCGUAAACGAUGAGUGCUAAGUGUUGGGGGUCGAACCUCAGUGCUGAAGUUAACGCAUUAAGCACUCCGCCUGGGGAGU